UACGUAGGGUGCAAGCGUUAAUCGGAAUUACUGGGCGUAAAGCGUGCGCAGGCGGUUUUGUAAGUCUGUCGUGAAAUCCCCCGGGCUCAACCUGGGAAUUGCGAUGGAGACUGCAAGGCUAGAAUCUGGCAGAGGGGGGUAGAAUUCCACGUGUAGCAGUGAAAUGCGUAGAGAUGUGGAGGAACACCGAUGGCGAAGGCAGCCCCCUGGGUCAAGAUUGACGCUCA
rnacentral:rRNA from 1 species